rnacentral:rRNA from 1 species
UGGGGAAUAUUGCACAAUGGGCGCAAGCCUGAUGCAGCCAUGUCGCGUGUGUGAAGAAGGCCUUCGGGUUGUAAAGCACUUUCAGCGGGGAGGAAGGCGUUAAGGUUAAUAACCUUGGCGAUUGACGUUACCCGCAGAAGAAGCACCGGCUAACUCCGUGCCAGCAGCCGCGGUAAUACGGAGGGUGCAAGCGUUAAUCGGAAUUACUGGGCGUAAAGCGCACGCAGGCGGUCUGUCAAGUCGGAUGUGAAAUCCCCGGGCUCAACCUGGGAACUGCAUUCGAAACUGGCAGGCUAGAGUCUUGUAGAGGGGGGUAGAAUUCCAGGUGUAGCGGUGAAAUGCGUAGAGAUCUGGAGGAAUACCGGUGGCGAAGGCGGCCCCCUGGACGAAGACUGACGCUCAGGUGCGAAAGCGUGGGGAGCAAACAGG